AGCGAACGCUGGCGGCAGGCCUAACACAUGCAAGUCGAACGGAUCCUUCGGGAUUAGUGGCGGACGGGUGAGUAACACGUGGGAACGUGCCCUUUGGUUCGGAACAACUCAGGGAAACUUGAGCUAAUACCGGAUGUGCCCUUCGGGGGAAAGAUUUAUCGCCAUUGGAGCGGCCCGCGUCUGAUUAGCUAGUUGGUGAGGUAAAGGCUCACCAAGGCGACGAUCAGUAGCUGGUCUGAGAGAAUGAUCGGCCACAUUGGGACUGAGACACGGCCCAAACUCCUACGGGAGGCAGCAGUGGGGAAUCUUGCGCAAUGGGCGAAAGCCUGACGCAGCCAUGCCGCGUGAAUGAUGAAGGUCUUAGGAUUGUAAAAUUCUUUCACCGGGGACGAUAAUGACGGUACCCGGAGAAGAAGCCCCGGCUAACUUCGUGCCAGCCGCCGCGGUAAGAC
rnacentral:rRNA from 1 species